GAUGAACGCUAGCUACAGGCUUAACACAUGCAAGUCGAGGGGAAACGAUAUUGGAAGCUUGCUUCCGAUAGGCGUCGACCGGCGCACGGGUGAGUAACGCGUAUCCAACCUGCCCAUCACUUGGGGAUAACCUUGCGAAAGUAAGACUAAUACCCAAUGACGUCUCUAGAAGACAUCUGAAAGAGAUUAAAGAUUUAUCGGUGAUGGAUGGGGAUGCGUCUGAUUAGCUUGUUGGCGGGGUAACGGCCCACCAAGGCGACGAUCAGUAGGGGUUCUGAGAGAAGGUCCCCCANAUUGGAACUGAGACACGGUCCAAACUCCUACGGGAGGCAGCAGUGAGGAAUAUUGGUCAAUGGACGAGAGUCUG
rnacentral:rRNA from 1 species